rnacentral:lncRNA from 1 species
UAGUAAAAAUUUAUUGUGCACACACCAAAAAUAGUUUGCAAACCGGGAGCUCUGGAACCAGAGCACGGAAUGAGGCCCAGGGUAUAUCUUUAUAAAGCUACUUGUGCCGUGAGAAAGCAGUGACUGUUUAUUCUUCACGGAUUGGCUGCAAUGAGAUUUUUCAGUGGUCCCUUCAUAUCAUCCAUGGGAACCAGUUCAAGUUUUGCUUAUCAUUUCCAGAAGCUCAAACAAGAAAUGAUCUAGGUCAACUUAGCCUUGCAAAAUAAGCUAAAUUAUGCUUUGUUUGUAUGAUCAUACUGGUUACUCUGCUUAGAAUUUUCAAGGCUAGUCUCCGUUCGGUUUUGAUUUUAAUAGGCUCUAUCUCUCAAUAAAUGCGAGAGAGCCCACGAAAGCUCCCCAAUACGAAGCUGCGCUAUCUGGGCGGCACUAGGACCCCGGGGGCUCCAGGUUAGCUCUCCCAGCCGGCGGGUGGUGGCGCGGGUUUAAGGACCGGCAGGAGCUGGAAGCAAGGGAAGGGCGAGGCGAGUGAGCAGGGACACAAUGGACACUUUCUGCCCUCUGGAGGGAGCUAUCCAAAAGAAGAAACUGCACUUGGAAAUUGACCUAUGAGCAGCACAGAAGAUGAAGAAGAAGGAAAGGGGCCAUCAAGCAGAGAAAUGUGGAGAUCCUGGUGAUGCUGGCAAUGACCCUUCAGCAGGGAGAUGGCUGGACCUGCCAAGUGGAGCACCCCAGCCUGGAUGGUCCUGUCACUGUGGAGUGGAGUUCCUGAUCUGACCCAAAGACCUCCGUGUGCCCCGGAACAAGCAUUUUUCUAUCUUUCCUCAGUCCUAGAGGCUGGUUCUGGGACAGACUUCAGCCUCCCAAGAGGAUGUUACUACUAAGUAACUGAAACUAGUUUCUAUAGUUGUUCUUUGAUUCCAUGCACACUUUCUCUCAGGGCCCCUAUCCAAGUUCCCUUCUUAUAGUUCCAUAAAUAAUAAAAGGUCAAUGUUAUUGUCUGUUUUCUCUUAAGAAUAUGCACCAAGUCAUCUCUGCCAUUGCUUUUGUUUGAGGAUUUUUGUAAACAAUAGGAGUUCAUGAAGAGGUUCAUUGUUGUGUAUACACAGGCAAGAAGGAAAGCAUGAAAAGGGGAUAUCCUAACUCUUGGGAAAGGUGGCAGAUUGGACAUGGACCUCCUCUGAAUUCACCCUCUAUCUUUGGGCUGUCCCAAAGAUAGUGAUUUGUGUUUGCUACUUUUAUCCCUGUAGGUCUGGGACCAUUCUUAGUUAUUCAAGGAUGAGCAGAUGGUGAAUUUUGUGUUAUAUGACCUAUAUUCACACAGCACUGAUUCAACAUAUAACUUAAAAAGAGCGUGUUUUACCAUUACCGUUAAGAAAUCAAAUUAAGGGGUGCCUGGGUGGCUCAGCUGAUUGAGCGUCUGACUCUUGAUUUUGGCUCAGGUCACAAUCUCAGUCCUGGGAUGGAGCCCUGCAUCAGGCUCCCCGCUCAGUGGGAUGUCUGCUUGAGGAGUCUCUCUCUCCUUCUCCCUCUGCCCCUCCCCCUAAAGUAAAUAAAUAAAUCUUUUUUAAAAAGAAAUCAAGUUAAGAUCAGAAUUUAAAAUUGGAAAUAUAAUGUAAUAAACUUAAGCCCUUUGUUUUGCAUACCAUGAUAAAUAGUCCUUGACCAAACAAGGCUUAGCCUUUUUAAUGCAACAAGUUAUAGAAGAUACAGGUUUAUCCUUUAAGUCUGUAGUCAUCAGACCAUCCAGGCCUCCUGUCCUCGUAAUUCACACAGUGUUAAAAUGCUCAAAGCAGUAGAUGCAGUUCUCUUUUUUAAACUUAGGUCUGCUUUUACAAUCCAAAAUGAUUUUGGGUUUUCUGUUUCAUAUGAAAUUAUCCUGAAAGUUGAGAUAAGUUCUAAG